UACGUAGGUGGCAAGCGUUUGUCCGGAAUUAUUGGGCGUAAAGCGCGCGCAGGCGGUCCCUUAAGUCUGAUGUGAAAGCCCACGGCUCAACCGUGGAGGGUCAUUGGAAACUGGGGGACUUGAGUGCAGAAGAGAAGAGUGGAAUUCCACGUGUAGCGGUGAAAUGCGUAGAGAUGUGGAGGAACACCAGUGGCGAAGGCGACUCUUUGGUCUGUAACUGACGCUGAGGCGCGAAAGCGUGGGGAGCAAACAGG
rnacentral:rRNA from 1 species